ACCUGGGUGGCUCAGUGGUUGAGCAUCUGCCUUCAACUCAGAGUGUGGUCCCGGGUC
rnacentral:tRNA from 1 species